GAGCAGAAAUGCUGGUAUCUGAGCACGGAGUAGAAAUUGCUAUAUUUCUCUCCUCCCUAAGAAACUUUGUACGUCGUUUUCCAAGCAGACCGCGUUUAGUUUACGCGAAAUGAACUUAUGUAUGCUCUAUGAUGAUCCGCCGCAGGCUUAGCCCUUUUCCCCGAUCACCAGUGUUUUGGCAUUCGAUGUCGCAUGUCUAGACUUGUUCAGUAGUGUCUUUCUUGCUGCAAUUUUUACCCUUCGCUGAUAUCUUGUUGCUGUCAUGUUGUGCUAGCCGCGUAGCGAUAAGCGGUGAUUCUCCGAUUAUUCCUAGGCGGUACGGCUUAAGCCUUUUCCCUGCUCACUGAAGGAAAUUUGUGUAUCCCUGUCCUGUGCUUUCUUUACGCAAGGGUAAUGCGUCUGUGUAUGUGGCACUAUCAUAUAGCAGACAUGAGUGUCUUUUUCUUGGUUUAUUGGCAUAUGCACCAGGUUUUUUAAGUCAAGCAAAAGUGCGUGUAAUAUUUCGCUGCUCUUUUUCUUAUUUUCUCUACUUUUAUGUAGAAGAAAGCCUCCUGCGUAAAAGCUGAAUAGUGUUCUACCAGUGGAAGUGGGGUUGUUUGUUUGAUUUUGUUGGGUGUUCGAUAUCUUGACGAAGUAAGCAGUGCUUAAUUUUGCAGGUUUUUGAGCAGAAAUGCUGGUAUCUGAGCACGGAGUAGAAAUUUCUAUAUUUCUCUGCUCCUUAAGAAAAUUUGUACGUCGUUUUCCAAGCAGACCGCGUUUAGUUUACGCGAAGUAGAAAAAUGAAGUUGUGUAUGCUCUAUGAUGAUCCGCCGCGGGCUUAGGCCUUUUCCCCGAUGAGCAGUGUUUUGUAUGCGAUGUCGCAUGUCUGGACUUGUUCAGUGUUGCAAUUUUUACCCUUCGUUAAUAUCUUGUUGUUGUUGUUGUCGUCUUGUGUUAGACGUUGAGCUUCGUAGCGAUGUGCGGUAACGCUACGAUUAUUCCUGAGCGCUCCGUGUGUUUAAUGCGUUGUCCUCUUUGCGUGCAUGCGUGUGCUUUUUUUCUCCUGAUUUGUGACGUCCUCGUGGCAUGUCUGGACUUGUUUAGCAGUGUUGCAGUUCUUCCCGCUGCUAGUAUCUUGUUGGUGUCAUGUUGUGCUAGCCGCGUGGCGAUGUGUGGUGACCUGAGGUCUUAAGCCUUUUCCCUGCUCACCUAAGGAAAUUUGUGUAUCCCUGUCCUGUGCUUUCUUUACGCAAGGGUAAUGCGACUGUGUAUGUGGCAUUAUGCAAGAAUUAUCUGGUGGCAGAAAUAGGUGUAUUUUUCUCAGUGUAUUGGCGUGCGCUACGGUUUCUUGCAGUUACAGCUAUUGGAGCACACAUGCGUGUAAUUUUUCGCGGUUCUUUUCUCCUUUCACGGCUUUUACUCAGAAUGUAGAUGAGGGGAAACACUCAGCAUCCAGGUAGAGCAGGAGAAAGCCGCUCGGCAGAGGAGAGAGUUCAUGAGAAUGGAAUUUGUUUGUUUUUUGUUAUAUGUUGAGUGUUAGUAUUCGCUUUCCUCGAUAUGUUGAGGAAGUCAGCCGUUAUAGGUAUUUGUGCAGAAAUGCUGGUAUCUGAGUGUGUGGAGUAGAAAUUCCUAUAAAGCACCUCUCCUUGUGCAUUCCUGAGCUGCUGUGUGCGCGCGCGUGCUUCUUUUUCCUGGAUUGCGACGUCAUGAUGGCAUGUUGGGGCUUGUUUAGCAGUGUUGCAAUUUUACCCGCCGCUAUUAUCUUGUUAUCUUGUGUUAGCCGCGUAGCGAUAUCCAGUGACUCUGCUAUUAUUCCUGAGGUCUUAAGCCUUUUCCCUGCUCACCUAAGGAAAUUUGUGUAUCCCUGUCCUGUGCUUUCUUUGCGACAAUGCGUCUGUGUAUGUGGCACUAUCAGAUACCAGACAUGAGUGUCUUUUUCUUGGUUUAUUGGCAUAUGCUUCAGGUUUUUUUAAGUCAAGCACAAGUGCGCGCAAUUUUUCGCUGCUCUCUUCCUCAGAUCACCGAUUUUACGAAGAAGACAGUCGCAUGGUACAGCUGAGAUGAGGGUUUCUCUGAUUGUUUGUUUUAUUUUGUUGGGUGUUCGAUAUGUUGAGGAAGUCAGCUGUUAAAGGUAUCCGUGAAGAAAUGCUUGCACCUGAGCGCAGGAUAGGAAUUUCGUGAAGCACGGCACCCUCAGUGUAAAUUAAUUAUGUUGGAUAUGAGUCUGCUUCCCUGCAUGACAAGGCUGAAAUGGGAAGAGAGAAAAAAUUGGAGCGCUUCAUUAGUAGCGAUCCAAGUAAUAGGGCAAUUAUAGUUUCCAUAGAAAGUAGAAUUUUAAUGGGCUCCUAAAAUUAUAGUUUAGUUGUAGUUUUUCUAAACUGCAAUGCAAUAAUCAUUAAUAUAGUAUAGGAAUGCUAUCGUGUUCCCGUAAAGACGUUCUGUCUUGUGCUUUGGAAUGCGCGAAUUGAACUUUGCUCGCAGCCUUUCCCGCCUUUAUGCUCGCAAUGCGCGAAUGGAACUUUGCCCACCCGGCUUCCGCGCCUUUUUUGCUCGCAGGUGUAGCCUCAGACAACGAAUGUAUGAGCAUAGAAAGGGUCACGUAUUACAUAAGCCUGGAGGUGAUGUUGAGUGGUCUCACUUAUUAUUUUAAAAGAGCAGUGGCAGUUUACUGUAAUUCUAAUGACCAUGAUGAGCCUUUGGGGUGAAAAUCGUUAAUAUGCGGGGUGCUUUUUUGUUGAAUUUUAAUGAGAGAAUCAAUGUCAUUAAGAGUAGGACAGAGGAAAUAAUCUUGCGAUUCAAUAAAUAAUAGGAGUCUUUGUCGGUGUCUUCUUCAGGCAGGAUGUGAUGACGUCACGCAGUCUGUAGCAAUGCAUUGACCGUUACUGGAAAAAAGUGUGGCAAAAUAGUGUGUGUUGUCCUGGGCAGAUUUAUGAUGAGCACUGUUUUUGAAUAAGAAGAAAUAGUUUGAUGCUGGUUUCCUUUUUGUUUCUUUUCGCUUUUUCCCCCCUUGUCUGACAAACAUGUGCUGACAUGCCUGGGCUUGUUCUGACAUGCUUUCCUUCUACAUGUAGUUUUUUUCUUUUUGUACAAGGCAUAUUCUUGACGAUAGUGCUGCCUUGAAUGGGAGUAGAGCUAUUCUUAAUAAUUUUGCGAUUCAUUUAGUUCAGAGAGUAACCGCGAGGGGGACAGGUGUGUGACUUUAUGUCUUGCUGAACCAUUUUUUUCCUGUACAGUAAGACUUUGGGAAUGAAAUGCUACAAUCUCCUCUUGUCUAUGGUGUUUUUCUGCAAUAGUUCCCUACGCAAUCAUUAUAGUAGAAUAAAGGAAAUAAUCUUGGGAUAGUGAUUCAAUAAAUAACAGGUGCCCUGUCUAGAGCGUACGCGUCCUUGAGCCACGCAGGUGCAUGAUGACCGCAUACCGAGAGACUAUUGUUUCAGGUUGACCUUGUCUAGAGGAGCAUUAGUGGAAAAAAACUGUGUAGCCCUGAGACAAUAGGAUGACGUCACGACCAAUGAGAACGGCCUGCAGGGGGCGCAAGGAUUCACUUCUCUCUUGGACACUGACGGGUCUCGACACGCAAAUUCUGCUCCUGGCAUUGGCCGUCAGUGGAAGAGCGUAGCUUCGGUGGGGUUCUGUCUGCCUCUGAUGGGGUGCGGAUGUGUGGUUCGUCACUGGUGAAUGGUGUUCGACGAUGCAGGUGGAUUUUGUGACGAGCGGAUUUACAAUGAGGGAAUGCUGUGAACGGGAAAAAUGAUGAGCUGUCCUAACUUGCCCAGACAUGCCAUGAUGACGUCACAGCUGACGUCACAGGAUGUCCGGAACUGGUGCUGCGAUGCUUUGCAACUUGCCUCCGUGCUCCGUCGCCCAGCGACAGUCAGCGGCCGUUCCGGACCGCUUUCUACAAGAUGGCGUCGUUGAUCUUCAACUAAACUCCUUCUCUCCACUCUAUCUCUAUCUUUUUAUUUUAUUUUCUACCUAUUUUUUUAUUUUUUAUCAGCUCAAGUAGCCGGAAACUCACACAGUGGUCUGGACGUGUCUUAGAUGAUCCCCAAUUAGUGUAAUGACGCCCUGGUGGUUCCUGAUUAAUGUGGGGGGUCCCAAUUAGCUCUAAUUGCUAAUUAAUGGCGUCCAGGCGACUGUGUGACUUGCCGGAUACUUGAGCUGAUCCCAUACUACUUGUAAUGCCAUGUAACCUUUUCCCACUCAUUUUAAUCCAAGUGCAACAGCAAAUUCAUUUACGUGCCAUAGACAUUUCUUCACACAUGGAUUAGUUUUAGCAUUUUGGUUAAGAUGUAGAUGGGUUUCCUCCCCGUCGGUUAAGUUUUCAUACAGCUUUGCAUUCAACAUCACUCGUGACAUUCACUGAAAUUGUUCAUACUUAUGAAAUGCAGAAAGGUGGACACAGUUCUGCCUAGUGCCCAUUAAUUCAGUUGAUACCGUAUGUAAUGCCAUGUACCACAAUCAGGUUUUCCCACUCAUUUUAAUCCAAGUGCCACAGCAAAUUCAUUUACUUGCCAUAGACAUUUCUUCACACAUGGAUUAGUUUUAGCAUUUUGGUUAAGAUGUAGAUGGGUUUCCUCCCCGUCGGUUAAGUUUUCAUACAGCUUUGCAUUCAACAUCACUCGUGACAUUCACUGAAAUUGUUCAUACUUAUGAAAUGCAGAAAGGUGGACACAGUUCUGCCUAGUGCCCAUUAAUUCAGUUGAUACCGUAAGUAAUGCCAUGUACCACAAUCAGGUUUUCCCACUCAUUUUAAUCCAAGUGCCACAGCAAAUUCAUUUACUUGCCAUAGACAUUUCUUCACACAUGGAUUAGUUUUAGCAUUUUGGUUAAGAUGUAGAUGGGUUUCCUCCCCGUCGGUUAAGUUUUCAUACAGCUUUGCAUUCAACAUCACUCGUGACAUUCACUGAAAUUGUUCAUACUUAUGAAAUGCAGAAAAGUGGACACAGUUCUGCCUAGUGCCCAUUAAUUCAGUUGAUACCGUAUGUAAUGCCAUGCACCACAAUCAGGUUUUCCCACUCAUUUUAAUCCAAGUGCCACAGCAAAUUCAUUUGCGUGCCAUAGACAUUUCUUCACACAUGGAUUAGUUUUGGCAUUUUGGUUAAGAUGUAGAUGGGUUUCCUCCCCGUCGGUUAAGUUCUCAUACAGCUUUGCAUUCAACAUCACUCGUGACAUUCACUGAAAUUGUUCAUACUUAUGAAAUGCAGAAAAGUGGACACAGUUCUGCCUAGUGCCCAUGAAUUCAGUUGAUACCGUAUGUAAUGCCAUGUAACCUUUCCCCACUCAUUUUAAUCCAAGUGCCACAGUAAAUUCAUUUACGUGCCAUAGACAUUUCUUCACACAUGGAUUAGUUUUAGCAUUUUGGUUAAGAUGUAGAUGGGUUUCCUCCCCGUCGGUUAAGUUUUCAUACAGCUUUGCAUUCAACAUCACUCGUGACAUUCACUGAAAUUGUUCAUACUUAUGAAAUGCAGAAAAGUGGACACAGUUCUGCCUAGUGCCCAUUAAUUCAGUUGAUACCGUAUGUAAUGCCAUGUACCACAAUCAGGUUUUCCCACUCAUUUUAAUCCAAGUGCCACAGCAAAUUCAUUUACUUGCCAUAGACAUUUCUUCACACAUGGAUUAGUUUUAGCAUUUUGGUUAAGAUGUAGAUGGGUUUCCUCCCCGUCGGUUAAGUUUUCAUACAGCUUUGCAUUCAACAUCACUCGUGACAUUCACUGAAAUUGUUCAUAUUUAUGAAAUGCAGAAAAGUGGACACAGUUCUGCCUAGUGCCCAUUAAUUCAGUUGAUACCGUAUGUAAUGCCAUGUACCACAAUCAGGUUUUCCCACUCAUUUUAAUCCAAGUGCCACAGCAAAUUCAUUUGCGUGCCAUAGACAUUUCUUCACACAUGGAUUAGUUUUGGCAUUUUGGUUAAGAUGUAGAUGGGUUUCCUCCCCGUCGGUUAAGUUUUCAUACAGCUUUGCAUUCAACAUCACUCGUGACAUUCACUGAAAUUGUUCAUACUUAUGAAAUGCAGAAAAGUGGACACAGUUCUGCCUAGUGCCCAUGAAUUCAGUUGAUACCGUAUGUAAUGCCAUGUACCACAAUCAGAUUUUCCCACUCAUUUUAAUCCAAGUGCCACAGCAAAUUCAUUUACUUGCCAUAGACAUUUCUUCACACAUGGAUUAGUUUUAGCAUUUUGGUUCAGAUGUAGAUGGGUUUCCUCCCCGUCAGUUAAGUUUUCAUACAGCUUUGCAUUCAACAUCACUCGUGACAUUCACUGAAAUUGUUCAUACUUAUGAAAUGCAGAAAAGUGGACACAGUUCUGCCUAGUGCCCAUGAAUUCAGUUGAUACCGUAUGUAAUGCCAUGUAACCUUUUCCCACUCAUUUUAAUCCAAGUGCCACAGCAAAUUCAUUUACGUGCCAUAGACAUUUCUUCACACAUGGAUUAGUUCUGGCAUUUUGGUUAAGAUGUAGAUGGGUUUCCUCCCCGUCGGUUAAGUUUUCAUACAGCUUUGCAUUCAACAUCACUCGUGACAUUCACUGAAAUUGCUCAUACUUAUGAAAUGCAGGAAAGUGGACACAGUUCUGCCUAGUGCCCAUGAAUUCAGUUGAUACCGUAUGUAAUGCCAUGUACCACAAUCAGGUUUUCCCACUCAUUUUAAUCCAAGUGCCACAGCAAAUUCAUUUACUUGCCAUAGACAUUUCUUCACACAUGGAUUAGUUUUAGGAUUUUGGUUAAGAUGUAGAUGGGUUUCCUCCCCGUCGGUUAAGUUUUCAUACAGCUUUGCAUUCAACAUCACUCGUGACAUUCACUGAAAUUGCUCAUACUUAUGAAAUGCAGGAAAGUGGACACAGUUCUGCCUAGUGCCCACGAAUUCAGUUGAUACCUUAUGUAAUGACAUGUACCACAAUCAGGUUUUCCCACUCAUUUUAAUCCAAGUGCCACAGCAAUUCAUUUACGUGCCAUAUACAUUUCUUCACACAUGGAUUAGGUUUGGCAUGUUGGUUAAGAUGUAGAUGGGUUUCCUUCCCAUCGGUUAAGUUUUCAUCAUGUUACAUUACCUGUGCUCCUUUUCUUUUCUUUUUUCUUUUUGUGUGGUAGGUUUGCGAUGCGUCUCGUCGGAUACUAUAUAUGACUGCCAGGUAGUAUGGGUGUUGUCACGACUCAUGUGUCCCUAAUGCAUGUGAGCUGCGCAAAAGAGCAACAGCAGGCUUUUUCAAAAAUGAGGAGUGGCCGAUAGGUGAUAGUUGGAUAUCCCCUGGAAGCUUGGCUUAUGACCCCUGUCAGGUCCCCGACAACUGCAGAAGAGAAUGCCGAUAAUGCUGCCCACAUGACAACGUGGUGUCACAUCGAACAGUGUUGUGGAGUCCUCAAAAUGCGGUUCCGUUGCCUACAACGUUACAGGACCCAUCACUUUUCUCCAGACCGGUCAUGCAAUAUCAUUACAAUAUGUGCUAUUGUUCACAACCUAUGCCUCGCAUACAAUAUCAGUGACCCUCCAGAGAGCAGUGAGGAGUGCAACUCACGGGAUGCGCGCGAAAUCAGCCAAGAAAGCCCCGAAGAGUAAGAAGUGCUCCGUGGAAACAGUCGUAGUUUUUAGAUCACGCAGCUGCUUUUUCUUUUUUUUAUGUGUGUGUGGUUUUAAGUGUUUCAACUGUCCUACUCUGAAAUAAAUAAGUGUGUACAAUCCCUAUUAAAAAUUCCA